rnacentral:rRNA from 1 species
GACGAACGCUGGCGGCGUGCUUAACACAUGCAAGUCGAACGGAAAGGCCAGGCUUUUGUGUGGUGCUCGAGUGGCGAACGGGUGAGUAACACGCGAGUAACCUGUCCUUGACUUUGGGAUAACAUCAGGAAACUGGGGCUAAUAUCGGAUAGGAGCUCCUGCUGCACGGUGGGGGUUGGAAAGUUACGGCGGUUGGGGAUGGUCUCGCUGCUUAUGCGCUUGUUGGGCAGGUAGUUGCUUUCCAAGGGUUUGACGGAUAGCCCGCCUUAGAGGGUGACCAGGCACCUUAGGACUACGAGACGCCCCAGUCUGCUACGGUCGGCAGCAGUGGGGAAUAUUACGCAAUGGGGGGACGCGUGAUGUAGCAGCGCCGCGUGCGGGAUGACCUGCUUCGGGUUGUAAACCGCUUUCGCCUGUGACGAGGAGUGCGUGACGGUAAUGGGUAAGAAAGCACCGGCUAACUACGUG